UACGGGGGGAGCAAGCGUUGUUCGGAUUUACUGGGCGUAAAGGGCGCGUAGGCGGCCACGACAAGUCAGUUGUGAAAUCUCUGGGCUUAACUCAGAACGGUCAACUGAUACUGUCGGGCUAGAGUGCAGAAGGGGCAACUGGAAUUCUCGGUGUAGCGGUGAAAUGCGUAGAUAUCAGGAGGAAUACCGGUGGUGCAGACGGCUCUCUGGACCGCGACUGACGCUGAGACACGAAAGCGUGGGUAGCAAACAGG
rnacentral:rRNA from 1 species